rnacentral:rRNA from 1 species
UACGGAGGGUGCAAGCGUUAUCCGGAAUCACUGGGUUUAAAGGGUGCGUAGGCGGCUUGGUAAGUCAGAGGUGAAAGCUUCCCGCUCAACGGGAGAACUGCCUUUGAUACUGCCAGGCUCGAAUUGGGUUGAGGCAGGCGGAAUGUGGCAUGUAGCGGUGAAAUGCUUAGAUAUGACAUAGAACACCAAUUGCGAAGGCAGCUGGCUACAGGUAUAUUGACACUGAGGCACGAAAGCGUGGGGAUCAAACAGG